rnacentral:rRNA from 1 species
CCUACGGGGUGCAGCAGUGGGGAAUAUUGGGCAAUGGACGCAAGUCUGACCCAGCAACGCCGCGUGAAGGAAGAAGGCUUUCGGGUUGUAAACUUCUUUUAAGGGGGAAGAGCAGAAGACGGUACCCCUUGAAUAAGCCACGGCUAACUACGUGCCAGCAGCCGUGGUAAUACGUAGGUGGCAAGCGUUGUCCGGAUUUACUGGGUGUAAAGGGCGUGCAGCCGGGAAGACAAGUCAGAUGUGAAAUCCCGCGGCUCAACCGCGGAACUGCAUUUGAAACUGUUUUUCUUGAGUAUCGGAGAGGUAAUCGGAAUUCCUAGUGUAGCGGUGAAAUGCGUAGAUAUUAGGAAGAACACCAGUGGCGAAGGCGACCUGCUAGAACAUAACUGACGCUGAUGCGCGAAAGCGUGGGGAGCAAACAGGAUUAGAUACCCCUGUAGUC